rnacentral:rRNA from 1 species
AUUGAACGCUGGCGGCAUGCUUUACACAUGCAAGUCGAACGGCAGCGCGGGCUUCGGCCUGUCGGCGAGUGGCGAACGGGUGAGUAAUACAUCGGAACGUGCCCAGUAGUGGGGGAUAGCUCGGCGAAAGCCGGAUUAAUACCGCAUACGACCUGCGGGUGAAAGCGGGGGAUCUUCGUACCUCGCGCUAUUGGAGCGGCCGAUGGCAGAUUAGCUAGUUGGUGGGGUAAAGGCCUACCAAGGCGACGAUCUGUAGCUGGUCUGAGAGGACGACCAGCCACACUGGGACUGAGACACGGCCCAGACUCCGACGGGAGGCAGCAGUGGGGAAUUUUGGACAAUGGGCGAAAGCCUGAUCCAGCAAUGCCGCGUGUGUGAUGAAGGCCUUCGGGUUGUAAAGCACUUUUGGCGGGAACGAAAAGGACUGUGCCAAUACCACGGUUCGAUGACGGUACCCGCAGAAGAAGCACCGGCUAACUACGUG